rnacentral:rRNA from 1 species
UACGGAGGGUGCAAGCGUUAUCCGGAUUCACUGGGUUUAAAGGGUGCGUAGGAGGGCAGGUAAGUCAGUGGUGAAAUCUCCGAGCUUAACUUGGAAACUGCCGUUGAUACUAUCUGCCUUGAAUAUUGUGGAGGUGAGCGGAAUAUGUCAUGUAGCGGUGAAAUGCUUAGAUAUGACAUAGAACACCAAUUGCGAAGGCAGCUCGCUACGCAUAUAUUGACUCUGAGGCACGAAAGUGUGGGGAUCAAACAGG